UCAAGAUUUUUAGAAGGUUUCACCAAAGGAUUACAAAAGUAGAGGAACAGCCCUCUCAGCUGUGGUAUUACCAACCAAACCUGCUGCUGGUUCUCUGCCAGCCAUGCUGUCUGCUUCUAGCUUGGUACUUAUGAUCUGGUUGAUGAUGGGAGGGACCAGUGGAGACUCAGUGAACCAGACAGAAGGCCCUGUUACCCUCCCAGAGGGGAAAACUUUGACGCUGAGCUGCAAGUACCAGACCACCUAUGGGUAUUCAGUUUCUCUCUUCUGGUAUGUCCAAUAUCCAAAAAAAGAGCCUGAUCUCCUCUUGAGAAGCUCAUCAGAUAAUCAGGAUGUCAGCAACAGAGGUUUUCAGGCCAAACUGGUGGUGACUAACAGCUCCUUCCACCUGACAAAACAUUCAGUGCAAAUGUCAGACUCGGCGGUGUACUACUGUGCUGUGGAACAGCAUGAUCUCAAGUAUGACAAAUACAAAGAAGGCCACAUCAAGGCUUAUUAG